GACGAACGCUGGCGGCGUGCUUAACACAUGCAAGUCGAACGGAAAGGCCCUGCUUUUGUGGGGUGCUCGAGUGGCGAACGGGUGAGUAACACGUGAGUAACCUGCCCUUGACUUUGGGAUAACUUCAGGAAACUGGGGCUAAUACCGGAUAGGAGCUCCUGCUGCAUGGUGGGGGUUGGAAAGUUUCGGCGGUUGGGGAUGGACUCGCGGCUUAUCAGCUUGUUGGUGGGGUAGUGGCUUACCAAGGCUUUGACGGGUAGCCGGCCUGAGAGGGUGACCGGCGACAUUGGGACUGAGAGAGGGCCCAGAAUCCUACGGGAGGCAGCAGGGGGGAAUAUGGCACAGUGGGCGGAAGUCUGAUGCGGCAACGCCGCGUGCGGGAUGACGGCCUUCGGGGUGUAAACCGCUGUCGCCUGUGACGAAGCGGGAGUGACGGUAAUGGGUAAAGAAGCACCGGCUAACUACGUG
rnacentral:rRNA from 1 species